GACGAACGCUGGCGGCGUGCUUAACACAUGCAAGUCGAACGAGAAUCUGUGGAAAGAGGAUUCGUCCAAUUGAAGCAGAGGACAGUGGCGGACGGGUGAGUAACGCGUGAGGAACCUGCCUUUCAGAGGGGGACAACAGUUGGAAACGACUGCUAAUACCGCAUAACGCGUAGAGAUCGCAUGGUCUUUACGCCAAAGAUUUAUCGCUGAAAGAUGGCCUCGCGUCUGAUUAGCUAGUUGGUGAGGUAACGGCCCACCAAGGCGACGAUCAGUAGCCGGACUGAGAGGUUGAACGGGCCACAUUGGGACUGAGAUACGGGCCCAGACUCCUACGGGAGGCAGCAGUGGGGAAUAUUGGGCAAUGGGCGCAAGCCUGACCCAGCAACGCCGCGUGAAGGAAGAAGGGCUUUCGGGGUUGUAAACUUCUUUUGUCUAGGGACGAGUAGAAGACGGGUACCUGACGAAUAAAGCCACGGGCUAACUACGUGCC
rnacentral:rRNA from 1 species